rnacentral:lncRNA from 1 species
ACGGCGAACUACAUCAGUGUUAUCCAGCGGUGUGUGUAAUUAACAGGCCUCGGACGGUUACCUGUGUCAGAAAAGAGACAAAAACCCAAAUGGAAAAGUGUGUGUGUUCACUUUCUGUCUAUAACAAACGCACAGUAUUUCUCCUCAGUCAGCGGAGCGGGAAUCAUUGAGGUUGUCACGCGUUUCCUUGUGAAUGUGCUGACUCAAAACAAGCAGAUUCACACUUAUUAUCAUCCGCUACACACACACCAGCUUUCAGAGUUGAAAUCCAGCAACCUGCAGGAAUAUGACAGACAGUAAUGAUGGUUUGUCGAAGUAAUGAGAAGCUGCUCUGUCAGGGCACAAACGCACCGGCGUAUCCUGAGAAGAAUGACACCACUUAUUCCCCACACACAUCCCUCGUUUUUCUGCCCCUUGAGAGAAGCCAUCAGUCAUUACUGUCAGCAGUGAAGUUCCACCAUCAUCAUCAUCAUCAUCAUCAUCAUCAUGGUUUCAUUCAUUUCCACCCCCCGGCGUCCUGAAACAGAGACCGGACGACUGAUGAGUGGCUGAGAUCAACAGGUGAUCAUAAUCCCUUACCAUUCACCCACAUGAAGAUGCUAGAAUCCCCAUGUAGU